CGAUGAAGGAGGAGCUUGCUCCUCUGGAUUAGUGGCGAACGGGUGAGUAACACGUGAGCAAUGUGCCCUUGACUCUGGAAUAAGCGCUGGAAACGGCGUCUAAUACCGGAUACGACCUUCGGAGGCAUCUCCUGUUGGUGGAAAGAACUUCGGUCAAGGAUCAGCUCACGGCCUAUCAGCUUGUUGGUGAGGUAACGGCUCACCAAGGCGACGACGGGUAGCCGGCCUGAGAGGGUGACCGGCCACACUGGGACUGAGACACGGCCCAGACUCCUACGGGAGGCAGCAGUGGGGAAUAUUGCACAAUGGGCGCAAGCCUGAUGCAGCAACGCCGCGUGAGGGACGACGGCCUUCGGGUUGUAAACCUCUUUUAGCAGGGAAGAAGCGAAAGUGACGGUACCUGCAGAAAAAGCACCGGCUAACUACGUGCCAGCAGCCGCGGUAAUACGUAGGGUGCAAGCGUUGUCCGGAAUUAUUGGGCGUAAAGAGCUCGUAGGCGGUUUGUCGCGUCUGCUGUGAAAUCCCGAGGCUCAACCUCGGGCUUGCAGUGGGUACGGGCAGACUAGAGUGCGGUAGGGGAGAUUGGAAUUCCUGGUGUAGCGGUGGAAUGCGCAGAUAUCAGGAGGAACACCGAUGGCGAAGGCAGAUCUCUGGGCCGUAACUGACGCUGAGGAGCGAAAGCAUGGGGAGCAAACAGGCUUAGAUACCCUGGUAGUCCAUGCCGUAAACGUUGGGAACUAGAUGUGGGGACCAUUCCACGGUCUCCGUGUCGUAGCUAACGCAUUAAGUUCCCCGCCUGGGGAGUAC
rnacentral:rRNA from 1 species